rnacentral:rRNA from 3 species
ACUUUAAUUGAAGAGUUUGAUCAUGGCUCAGAUUGAACGCUGGCGGCAGGCCUAACACAUGCAAGUCGAGCGGCAGCACAGAGGAACUUGUUCCUUGGGUGGCGAGCGGCGGACGGG